rnacentral:rRNA from 1 species
AUUGAACGCUGGCGGCAGGCCUAACACAUGCCAGUCGAACGGUAACAGGAAGAAGCUUGCUUCUUUGCUGACGAGUGUCGGACGGGUGAGUAAUGUCUGGGAAACUGCCUGAUGGAGGGGGAUAACUCCUGGAAACGGUAGCUAAUACCGCAUAACGUCCCAAGACCAAAGAGGGGGACCUUCUGGCCUCUUGCCAUCGGAUGUGCCCAGAUGGGAUUAGCUAGUAGGUGGGGUAACGGCUCACCUAGGCGACGAUCCCUAGCUGGUCUGAGAGGAUGACCAGCCACACUGGAACUGAGACACGGUCCAGACUCCUACGGGAGGCAGCAGUGGGGAAUAUUGCACAAUGGGCGCAAGCCUGAUGCAGCCAUGCCGCGUGUAUGAAGAAGGCCUUCGGGUUGUAAAGUACUUUCAGCGGGGAGGAAGGGAGUAAAGUUAAUACCUUUGCUCAUUGACGUUACCCGAAGAAGAAGCACCGGCUAACUUCGUG